UAGGGAAUCUUCCGCAAUGGACGCAAGUCUGACGGAGCAACGCCGCGUGAGUGAAGAAGGAUUUCGGUUCGUAAAACUCUGUUGUUAGAGAAGAACAGCGCAUAGAGUAACUGUUAUGCGUGUGACGGUAUCUAACCAGAAAGCCACGGCUAACUACGUGCCAGCAGCCGCGGUAAUACGUAGGUGGCAAGCGUUGUCCGGAUUUAUUGGGCGUAAAGCGAGCGCAGGCGGUCAAUUAAGUCUGAUGUGAAAGCCCCCGGCUCAACCGGGGAGGGUCAAUGGAAACUGGUUGACUUGAGUGCAGAAGAGGGAGGUGGAAUUCCAUGUGUAGCGGUGAAAUGCGUAGAUAUAUGGAGGAACACCAGUGGCGAAGGAGACUCUAUGGUCUGUAACUGACGCUGAGGUUCGAAAGCGUGGGUAGCAAACAGG
rnacentral:rRNA from 1 species